GGUCUGGUGGUGUAGUUGGUUAUCACGUCAGUCUAACAGUACGAGAGUCUCGUUUCUCUCGCCUCUGCCCACACUGAAGGUCUCCGGUUCAAGUCCGGGCUAGAUCA